rnacentral:piRNA from 1 species
UCGAUGAUCUCUGAAACUUUA